AACGAACGCUGGCGGCGUACUUAACACAUGCAAGUCGAACGUGAUUGAGAGCUUGCUCUCAUGAAAGUGGCGCACGGGUGAGUAACACGUGGAUAAUCUGCCUGGCGAUUCGGGAUAACACUUCGAAAGGGGUGCUAAUACCGGAUAAGCCCACAGUCUCUUCGGAGGGUGCGGGAAAAGGGGGCCUCUGUAUAUGCUCCUGUCGCUAGAUGAGUCCGGGGCCCAUUAGCUAGUUGGUAGGGUAAUGGCCUACCAAGGCGAAGAUGGGUAGCUGGUCUGAGAGGAUGAUCAGCCACACUGGAACUGAGAAACGGUACAGACUCCUACGGGAGGCAGCAGUGGGGAAUUUUGCGCAAUGGGCGAAAGCCUGACGCAGCAACGCCGCGUGAGUGAUGAAGGCCUUCGGGUCGUAAAGCUCUGUCAGAGGGGAAGAACCGCCGGGUGGCUAAUACCUGCCUGGUCUGACGGUACCCUCAAAGGAAGCAUCGGCUAACUCCGUGCCAGCAGCCGCGGUAACAC
rnacentral:rRNA from 1 species